rnacentral:lncRNA from 1 species
AUUUUAUUUUUGAGUUAUUGAGUAUUUUGUAAAAAAGGGGAGUUUUUUUUUUACAUGUCGCGCCGUAUAUCAAAAACAAUUUAUGAUUAUUGCUUGAAACUGUACACACUUCUUUGUUAUAUUAAUCUAAAGAUCUGUAUACUUUUUGGUUUGAUUCAAAAUUUUAUUUUAGUGAUAUUUGUAAUAAGAAAACAGGGUUGGGGGGUUUCACAUGUCCCGCCGUGUCUCAAAAGCAAUAAAUGGUAAUUGCUUAAAACUUUCUCAGAAACUAUUUAUGAUCAUUGCAUAAAACUUCCACACAAGACGUCGGGCGUAUCAUGCGCUCAUGGCGCAGCUGUUUAUUUUAUUU